UGAGUUCUUGUUGACCAGUAACCUAAAGCAGAUUCUGGCAAAGUAGGAAUUCAGUGGAAGUGGGUGACAAAAGUUUUGUAAGUGUUAAGUAUAUAUUACAGUAGGCUUUUUAGUUUAACCUAUUAUUUUAUUUUUUAGUUCAUGUGUGAGAACAUACACUACAUAAAAUAGGUUGUUACAAAUUGGGCCAAGUUUCUCUGCAAAGCAUGUGUUCAGCAUUGGGAGAGUGUCUUUUGUUAGUUAGUGAUGCACAGUGAUCAUCUCAAGAUAUGUUCUUUGUUUCUGUAGGUUCAUAUGUAGUGAGGAUUCAAAUGUCUAUUCACGUUGCAAAUUGGUCCCUUGCUUUCAUUGUAUGAACCUAUUUUAUGUAGUGUAUGUUC
rnacentral:misc_RNA from 1 species